rnacentral:rRNA from 1 species
CAAACUUUUGAUGGCGACCGGCGCACGGGUGAGUAACACGUAUCCAACCUGCCUCAUACUCGGGGAUAGCCUUUCGAAAGAAAGAUUAAUACCCGAUGUUAUAGUCCUACCGCAUGAUGGGAUUAUUAAAGAAUUUCGGUAUGGGAUGGGGAUGCGUUCCAUUAGUUAGUUGGCGGGGUAACGGCCCACCUAACCGACGAUGCGUAGGGGUUCUGAGAGGAAGGUCCCCCACACUGGUACUGAGACACGGACCAGACUCCUACGGGAGGCAGCAG